rnacentral:tRNA from 1 species
UGCGGGUUGGUGUAAGUGGUAGCACACGUAGCACAAAACUGAUUCUGAUAAGAAUCUGUACGGCAAUCAAUUUCGCAUAUCAUUCAUAAGAUCGUGAUGUAGGUUCGAAUCCUGCACCCGCAA